rnacentral:lncRNA from 1 species
UUUCCAUUGAAACACCACCAUUUGUUUUAAAAUGGUGAUUUUUUUAAACAUUUGACAGUCCUGAACAUUGAAGUGUCAUGUAAGAAAAUAAUUACCACUAAAACCAGAUAUUUUCUUAGAAAUAUUAAUUUGAUUUCAAUAAAACCUCAUACUACCAGCUUUGUUUUGGUAUAAUUAGACUAUUUACAUCUGAUUUGAUUUGAUUUUCUGUUUCUUUGUAACCUCCAGAAUAUGUCCUCCGACAUUGAGCACGGCAUAUCCCAUUUGUAAGUCUGUAUACCUGAAGAUUAGCUACUUAUGUGAGUCCUGCAAGAAACAGGAAAGAAUAAGACGUAAGAUUAUGCCUCUGGUGGGAAAGGCUGCAGCACUCUCCAGAAGGGUUGAUCCAUCACACUAAGUACUGCUGUCUGCCCCUCAAUUGGAAAAAGCACCAGCCUAAUGUGUUUCUGUGAAGAGUUUCAAAGUUGGUAUUUCCCAGUGAAAUAAAUAUUUUGGAGCACGUUUUCUAGCUUGCGCUACCUGAGGGUAUGUGGACCCAGCAGACCCAGCUGCAGUUCCAGGAGCAAACUCACAUCAUGACCUGAACUGUGAGGCUCAGCUGUGCUUUCCUUGAUGUUCAGCACUAUACAGAAAUUUAGGAAAGGAGUCUGGUUUGCCCUGAUUUACACCAGAAUAAACUCAUACGUUGGGAAUGUGACAAGAAAUCACUGGCACUGGAGGGCGCUCCUAAAGAAGUAGA